rnacentral:misc_RNA from 1 species
CAUUAAUACAUCUUAAUUUCUCGUAUAUAAAGGAACGAAUAUAUAUUUCUACUACUAGCGAGAAGAGAAUACUCAUGGUAGCCAUCUGGUGGCGUAUUAAUGUAGCGUCAAACAUAAAGUUUAAUUCAGAUACAUAUUACGUUAAGGAGACAAUGCGCUUGACAGGGUGGCGAUAUGUAACAUUUAUAGGAACAAUAGUAGGAUUCAUAGGAACGUUUUGUUAUCUUACAAUGAUUAGCCCCAUGAUUAAUCCAGAACCAUAUAAACAAAUUCGAGAACGUGUGGCAACUGAAAGUGCAAAUAAAAGAAAUAUAAGAAAAGACACAAAUAUUUAAGGAAAUAUAAUAUGAAUAAAAAAAAAACAGAUUAGAGAGGAUAUUUAUUGUACAAAAUUAAUUUUUAUUAUGUAGUUGGACAUAUGUCACUAAGAUGUUGGUGUAUAUAAAAUAGAUUGAAGAACGUUUAGUGUAUUAUGUUAAAAAAUCAAUAAAUGUAAUGAUUUGUACUCUUCUUAUAAUUAUUAAUAUAAUUAUGUUACUGUACAGACAUCAGCUGCAAGAAGUUUCUUAUUUGAAAUGACUAGAAACUUCAAUACAGACAUAGCAUCUUAUAAAUACAAUAUAAAGUUUGUGUUAAAAGUCAUCAUGAUCACAAACAUCUAGGAAGACAUCAAAUGCUUCACGGUUACAGUUUCCAUCGGCAGUAAAAACAUAUUUAUGAAAUGUUCCGUCCAUACAAAUCGCUAGAAACAAUUAAAAUUAUAUAUUAUACAGGCAUCAGAGAACUGCUUUGGCCGUGGAUUCUACACAGGAAUACAAUAAAAGGAAUUCACAUAUACAUAUGCCCUAUUUGAUUUAUAUUUAUUUGAUAUGGCCUACUAUAUAUAUAAACUCAAAUUAUAGCAAGUUUCUUCUUGAACAAACUCUAUUUGCAAAGCUCCACAAUAUGUGUUUAAAAUGACCUUGCUGCAUCAGAACAUAAGAUUGGAGACAUUUUAUCAUUGAUUGUUUGACUCUCUCCAUUUUUCCAGGUAUUGCUGGUUAGAUAUUGUGUUCUAUUUGUAAAUAGGUAAGUGAAACUAGCUUAACUAUUUCUGUCUUUCGAUAGAAGUAUUUCAAUAUAAAAUUCGCUAUAACUCGUAAGCAAGGUUAAAUAGGACAUUUGUUUAUAUAAACUCUUUUAUUGCUUUCAUAUGAAGAAUCCACUGCCAAAGUGGUUCCCCAAUGCUAUGGGACAUCUUAUAUAAUAUAAUAAAUAGUUUUAUAAAUAUUCUAAGUCAUUAUAUUCAAUACGCUUUUCAUACAAUACAUACCUAUAACAGAACUCCUUGUACC